CCCGCCGGUAGCCAUCUUCGUGCAUAGGCAAACUUAUUGUAGCUAGACUGUACAAAGUAUAUCAAGAUAUGCCAAAUAUUGAGCUUAACUUCACCUGUUUGAGAGACGGUGUUUCUUUUAGCUUGCAACACCAUGAAAAAAUUACUGAGACACUAGGAACGCUGUGAACUGAGAAAGUUUGGGACCUUUGGCAUAACUAAAUCCUUCAUUUAACAGAUGGAGUCUGAGUCUGUCACUAAGGCUGGAGUGCAGUGGCGCGAUCUCGGCUCACUGCAACCUCCACCUCCCGGGUUCAAGCGAUUCUCCAGCCUCAGCCUUCCACGUAGCUGGGACUACAGGUGCAUGCCACCACACCCAGUGUUGUGAACUACUUGUCAUGGGAUAACCAAAAUUAAACCUGGAAUCUCAGAAGAAACAAAUUGUUUGAAGAAGUUGGAUGUGCUUUAAAAUUUUUAAAUUUUUCAUUCAACUAAAACUUUGUGAACUGUUUCUUGGUUGUGGUCUUCUCUAAAUUGUAAUCUUUGGCAUUCACUUCCAAAGUAUCCCCCACUAAACUUCAUAACAUUUAUUGUGUCUCUUCAUUAUUAAACUUUGAUGAAUU
rnacentral:antisense_RNA from 1 species